UACGGAGGAGGCAAGCGUUAUCCGGAAUUAUUGGGCGUAAAGCGUCCGCAGGUGGCACCUCAAGUCUGCUGUCAAAGACCGGGGCUUAACCCCAGAAAGGCAGUGGAAACUGAAGUGCUAGAGUGCAGUAGGGGUAGAGGGAAUUCCCGGUGUAGCGGUAAAAUGCGUAGAGAUCGGGAAGAACAUCGGUGGCGAAAGCGCUCUGCUGGACUGCAACUGACACUCAGGGACGAAAGCUAGGGGAGCGAAUGGG
rnacentral:rRNA from 1 species